AGUCCAAAUCCCCAUUUCACAUAAACCCACACCUACCUAGCGUCUUUGAACUCCACCCCCAUUCUGUGUCCAAAAACAACCACCGACUUCUCCCACUCCGGUUCAAAAUCUACAUUCAAAAUAACACAAAAUCACGCAUUCCGGUCAUCCCUUACUUUCCUGCGAUCUGAAUAUGCCCAGCGCCCAUGGUCACAUUAGCUACCAACGGUGCCAACAUCGAGCCUCAGAUUUUGUCGUUCAUGAGCGCAUCCCGCCUGCCCCACUGCCCCUAGCCAUCAGAUCUGGUCAUCAUGCGCCUCGUCGAAGAACUCAGUGAGCCCUACUCCAUCUUCACCUACCUACGUCGUCUAUCUCUACUCCCAAAUCUCCUUUUCUGAGGCAAAUGUGUGGGAAUGGUGGUGGAAGACGCAUCGGUAAAAAUAAAGAAAAGGCAAAGGCCCCAAGAAAAUGAGGGCCCUAGGCAUGGGCCUUAGUGGCCUAUGCCUUCAGCCGGCCCUGGGUCGUAGAUGAGUGCAACUGAAGCUCAAGGAUAUUAGUUUUUUGGGUAUUUAUUUCAUUCUCUUUUUCAGUUUGAUUGGGAGGGAUGAGGUUUAGGUACCAUGGAAUACUUGAAAAUCUGAAAGUUAAUUGCAAUGAGUGUUUAGCAAGGAGAAUUGAUGCUUGCUAAUUGCAAGUCUGUUUCAUUACUUUAUGGCUUGACGUUAAUCAGGUAGUGAGAUACUGUUCUUUUAUCUUGAAAUUUGUAUAUUCUAGAAUUCUGUCAUUUUACUCCAAGUGUUUACUUACACAUAAUUGAUUAUAUAUGCCCCAUUUUUUAGUGGACUUUGCAAAGCUAAGGUCAAGUCCUUUGGUCAAGGUAUUGUAGCAGGUAGACGCAUUACUUGGCACUGUCAACAGUAAAUAUAUUGUUUGUGCACUAGAUAUACUUUAUUUUUCUCUCCUCUCACCUAUUUAAAAAGAAAUAAUGCAAAAAUAUACAUAUAUAUAUAUAUAUAUAUUUUAAAGCAAUACAAGUCAUAAAUUCAGUAAACCUUCAACUACUAAUCAUUCUUCAUUAGUUCAUGCAUGCUUCUUUCUCAAUACUAUUGUAGGCUCUUUCCUUCUUAUUUUUUAUUUAUUUUUUUACCCUUGUGUAGAGAUCUUACCGUCAACAGAUUGAAUGGAACUCUUUCAGAUUUUCAAAGCUUACAGCGGGUGCAAAAUAUAUUAUGUCCUUUUGUGGAUCACAAUCUGGAACUCUAUUACUAUAUUGAUGGGGACAUUUUAAGGAAUGCUGGGACAUGUGAUAUAAUCUUUUGGCAGGACAAAAGAUUCUGUAUUUGUUUAUUCUUUUUUGCUACCCGUCCAACCACCAAAGAUGACAAACUACAUAGUUGAUGAGCACUAUAUUGAUGUGGAGCCUCCAAUCCUUAAUAAAGUGAAGGGCUCUUUUGUGUUUUAAAAAGAAGCUCAUGUGGUACUUUCAGAGGGUAGAAGGCAUUCAAGGAGAAUGCUGCAGCAUUACAACAUCAAGAUGGUUUACAGACUAGCCAAGCACCAUUCUUUGUUUUUUUUUGCCCCUCCUCAUUUUAGUUUAAGCUUAUUGUAUUUAGGCAUUUUAUUUGGUGUACUUAGUGGUGGAAUUUUAAUGUAAAAGAUAUUUGAUGGUAAUAAUAGAUUAUUCAUUGUAUGUAAA